rnacentral:sRNA from 1 species
AUGUACUACAUGUACACUCCGGUUCCUGCGCUCCGUCCCGAUCCGCCUCAAGUCCGCUCGCUACGACUUCUGUC